CAUGGUGACAGCAGCGCUGGUCACGCCCACGGGGCGGAGAGAGGACAGCGGGCUCUGUGCACGUGCCGCCCCAGGCUCGGCGUGCUGGCUCUGGCCGAGGGUCAGCCGGGUCCGGGAGAUCAUCCGUCGGGGCACCAGGACCAGCACCCGGAGCCACAGCCUUUUAACAGCUGUGUUCUCUGUCACGCUGAGCGUCGAGGCCACAGUGGGCCAAGGAUGCCACGUCCUGUCCCGGACCCUGGGGAUGUGGCCUUGCCUGGCACCAGGGACUCACAGCUGGCAUUUCUCCAGGAGGGUCAGAGUCGGGGCACGCAGGCUGAGGCAGAGGCUGGCAUCACAGCAGCUUGGAGGGCGCGGCACGGAAGGCCCUUCCCGGGAGCAGGGACCAGCAGGGCUUGGAUCGCACCGGCCCAUCUCUCGGACCCCAUUUCUCUCUUGUGCUGCCUUCACGGACAGCCUCCACGAAGACGCCGCCUUGCGCUGUGUUCGUGUUGGCCGUGGCCUAACGGGCUGACACCUGUCGGGAGUUGGUGCGUAUUUGCCUGGGAGACCACCCUCGUCACUUUCUGGAAUCCCUCGUAGACCGGGGACAGACGGCCUAUGGACUCCCUGCAGCUCCUCCCCCAGCUCCCUGCACACAUUGUCAGCCGUCUCCUGACGUCAGCCUCUCUCGCACGUGCUGCGCCCCCCGUGCACGGGCUGGGGGGCCCUGCAACUCAUGCACCGAACGGACAGCACAGCGGCAUCCCGGGCUCCUGGCACAGACGCCACUCUGUUUAGAAACCUGGAGGGGGGAGCCGUGACGCCCACAGGCUGCCUCCCAGAAGGCCCCGCAUGAGACCGUCGUACUUUAUCUUAAGCCAACAGCACAACUUUCUCCUUGGAACACUGUUCAGGUUUACGGCGCAGUGACUUAAGACCACCCACUUCUCAAGAGAGGUUAACCACACACGUACGGCCAGGGGGAGUGUCCUGGAGAGGAGUGAUUUCCAUUCAAGCCGGGGGGCGUUUCCUCACCGUCAACACGGUAUUGAUCACACCGGUGGUUUUCUGCCUCACUUUCUCCCAGCCUCAUUUUUCCUUUUUAAAUACGUUUUCUGAAGUCUCUCCAGAUGAACCAGAGUAACUUCGUUUUUGGAAAAGAACAAAUUUCCCCCAGCAGUGCCAACCCUCCAGUGGCCGAAAUGAGCAGUUCUCAAACAAUCUUGGAGAUUCCAGUGCUCCCUCCGCAGAAUUCUAGAACAGCAGCACGUAAUCCGAGUAUUCCGCAGAAGGGCAGACUGCCCAGCGAGCCCAGUAACUAUGCAAACCCUCUGCCCCCUCGGGGCCCAGAGGGGAGGCCUGUAUAAAUGCUACAGCCAGGAAUAAAAGCAAUUUCCCGA